ACCAGACCUUUUUACAGGAUCACUACUUCAACAAAACCACUUUAUCUGGGCUGCUACCACCACCCUAACUAGUGGAGUGUCAGAUUAUAUCUCAGACUUGGAGUCUCUCAGUGGUUUUGCUUUCGAACCAUUUCAACAGGAAACCUUUGUACCUGCACCAGAGAGGUGUGUGGCUUUGGAGAAGAGGAUCCAGUGUGUGCUGGAUGCACAGCUCAGAACGUGGAUCCCUGUCUUGGGGUGCCUUUAUGAUGUGUCCCCAUUGUCUGUUCUGUUGGUGUUGGAUAUUGAGUUCUGCAGCUUUCAGGCUGGUUCCAGGAGCAAAGGGGGAGAGGAGAGGUGCAGAGUUUGUUACCAGAGACAGCACUUGCUCCCCCCAUCCUUCACACAGACUGUGCUGGCAGUGGACAGCAGGACAGAGCUCUCCUUGGCUCUUGCUUAGUUUUUCUGGCUAGCUGAGGCAGAGAAGCUCCCUGGACUGUGGUUUUUUCUUUUAUCUUGGAAUUGUUUGAACCUGCUCUGGACUGAAAACCCAGAGGAGCAGUGGGAGCUCCCACCUGUGGCACACCUGGGCUGUGACAUUUCCCAGUGCCCUGAGAACAGCCUGAGUGAUCUGGGCUGUGACCCACAGAGGGGACUCCUCUGAAUCUGUCAUCUCUUCAGAGCAGCAAGAGAUUUUGUUGUUUAGUAUUGUUCAUUUUUGUGCUGGGGAGUGCUUUGCCUGUUAAAUAAACAGGUUUUUUUCCCACUUCUCUCCGAGAAAACAUUACCCUGAACCAGCUGG